rnacentral:rRNA from 2 species
AGUAACACGUGGGCAACCUGCCUGUAAGACUGGGAUAACUUCGGGAAACCGGAGCUAAUACCGGAUAAUCCUUUCCUACUCAUGUAGGAAAGCUGAAAGACGGUUUACGCUGUCACUUACCGAUGGGCCCGCGGCGCAUUAGCUAGUUGGUGAGGUAACGGCUCACCAAGGCGACGAUGCGUAGCCAACCUGAGAGGGUGAUCGGCCACACUGGGACUGACACACGGCCCACACUCCGACGGGAGGCAGCAUUAUGGAAUCUUCCGCAAUGGACGAAAGUCUGACGGAGCAACGCCGCGUGAGUGAUGAAGGUUUUCGGAUCGUAUAACUCUGUUGUUAGGGAAGAACAAGUACGAGAGUAACUGCUCGUACCUUGACGGUACCUAACCAGAACGCCACGGCUAACUACGUGCCAGCAGCCGCGGUAAUACGUAGGUGGCAAGCGUUGUCCGGAAUUAUUGGGCGUAAAGCGCGCGCAGGCAGUCCUUUAAGUCUGAUGU